rnacentral:rRNA from 2 species
UACGGAGGGUGCAAGCGUUAAUCGGAAUUACUGGGCGUAAAGGGUGCGUAGGUGGUUUAUUAAGUUAUCUGUGAAAUCCCUGGGCUCAACCUGGGCAGGUCAGAUAAGACUGGUAAACUCGAGUAUGGGAGAGGGCAGUGGAAUUUCCGGUGUAGCGGUGAAAUGCGUAGAGAUCGGAAGGAACACCAGUGGCGAAGGCGGCUGCCUGGCCUAAUACUGACACUGAGGCACGAAAGCGUGGGGAGCAAACAGG